GGCGGGCGGCGUGCUCGAAAAUGUUAAAGUUCUUAUUUCAUGGUAUAACUUUGGUAUGCUUGGACCUAGAGUCUUCAAACUUGACAUGAAGGUUGGCCAGGAUUAACAGAUGACCACUGGUCAUUUCAAGGUCAUUCAUUUGAAGGUCAAGGUCACUGUGACCUUCAAUAUAAAAAUGUUAAAGUUGUUAUAACUUUUGUAUGCUUGGACCUAGAGUCUUGAAACUUGACAUGAAGGUUGGCCAGAACUAGUAAGUAACCACUGGACAUUUCAAGGUCAUUCAUUUGAAGGUCAAGGUCACUGUGACCUUGAAUGUAAAAAUGUUAAAGUUGUUAUAACUUUGGUAUGCUUGGACCUAGAGUCUUGAAACUUGACAUGAAGGUUGGCCAGAACUAGUAAGUAACCACUGGACAUUUCAAGGUCAUUCAUUUGAAGGUCAAGGUCACUGUGACCUUGAAUGUAAAAAUGUUAAAGUUCUUAUUUCAUGUUAUAACUUUGGUAUGCUUGUACCUAGAGUCUUCAAACUUGAAAUAAAGAUUGGCCAGUACUAGAAGAUGACCACUGGUCAUUUCAAUGUCAUUCAUUUGAAGGUCAAGGUCACUGUGACCUUAAAUGUUAAAAUGUUAAAAUUGUUAUAACUUUGGUAUGCUUGGACAUAGAGUCUUCAAACUUGACAUGAAGGUUUGCAAGCACACUUAGAUGACCACUGGUCAUUUCAAGGUCAUUCAUUCUAAGGUCAAGGUCACUGUGACCUUGAAUGUAAAAAUGUUAAAGUUCUUAAGUGUAGGUAUGUGAAAGCAAAACAAUAAAUAGUAUUAUUUCAUCUAAGUUUAUUUUCUUACAUUUGAUAAUGAAAUUGAUGGAAACUUCAAACAAUAUGUUACUAAUUUGCUAAUAAAAAAAUUGAGAUCAAACUUU